AUUGAACGCUGGCGGCAGGCCUAACACAUGCAAGUCGAGCGAGCGGCGGACGGGUGCGUAAUGUAUGGGGACUGCCCGAUAGAGGUGGAUAACUACUGGAAACCAUGGCUAAUCACGCAUAAUGUCGGAUAACCCAUAUGGUAUUAGCUAGUUGGUAAGGUAAUGGCUUACAUGGGGGACGAUCCCUAGCUGGUCUGAGAGGAUGAUCAGCCACACUGGGACUGAGACACGGCCCAGACUCCGACGGAGGCAGCAGUGGGGAAUAUUGCACAAUGGGCGCAAGCCUGACGGAGCCAGGCCGCGUGUAUGAAGAAGGUCCUAGGGUUGUAAAGCACUUUCAGUCGGGAGGCGUUACCUAAAGAGGAAGCAACGGCUAACUACGUGCCAGCAGCCGCGGUAAUUC
rnacentral:rRNA from 1 species